rnacentral:misc_RNA from 1 species
GAAAUGCGAUAAGUAAUGUGAAUUGCAGAAUUCAGUGAAUCAUCGAAUCUUUGAACGCACAUUGCGCCCCUUGGUAUUCCGAGGGGCAUGCCUAUUCGAGCGUCAUUAUCACCCCUCAAGCGCUUCGCGUGCUUGGUCUUGAGGCCUGCUGCAACGGCAGCCUCUAAAAUCAGUGGCAGUGCCGUCAGGCUCUAAGCGUAGUAAUUUCUCUCGCUAUAGAGACCUGGUGGACACUCGUCAGAACCUCCCCAUUUUUUAAUGAUUGACCUCGGAUUAGGUAGGGAUACCCGCUGAACUUAA